rnacentral:rRNA from 1 species
UAAGGAAUAUUGGUCAAUGGACGCAAGUCUGAACCAGCCAUGCCGCGUGAAGGAUGAAGGUCCUCUGGAUUGUAAACUUCUUUUAUCUGGGACGAAAACGGGAUUUUUAUCUCAAUUGACGGUACCAGAGGAAUAAGCACCGGCUAACUCCGUGCCAGCAGCCGCGGUAGUACGGAGGGUGCGAGCGUUAUCCGGAUUUACUGGGUUUAAAGGGUGCGUAGGUGGGCUUAUAAGUCAGUGGUGAAAUCUCCGAGCUUAACUUGGAAACUGCCGUUGAUACUAUAUAUCUUGAAUGUCGUAGAGGUAAGCGGAAUAUGUCAUGUAGCGGUGAAAUGCUUAGAGAUGACAUAGAACACCAAUUGCGAAGGCAGCUUGCUAUGCGAUUAUUGACACUGAGGCACGAAAGCGUGGGUAGCAAACA